CACGGCAUCAGUGAUUCCCCUCCUGCGCAUGCGUGCAGUGUCACACGCACACACACACGACUGUAGUGUGUGUGCAAUGCCUUUGUGUAUCUCAGUUCAUUGCAACGUGUGCGUAUCCGGGGACGUGCAUCCUGUAUUCCAGUACGUGACAGCCACCUCUGACGUGGCCUGUAAUUGUUUACGUGCUUAUUGCUGCACUGCCCACAUCCAAGUGAAGCUCUCCAGGGAAGGAAGCUGUCUCUUUUGCCCCCUGCGGUGGCCCCAGCUCCCAGCCUGGCAGAUUCUAAGUUCGUUCCUAAGGUGGCCAGCAUCCCAUCAGCAGUGACUAUGUGCAGUUCCCGUGGACCAUGGCCCGUUCCACCAGAAGCUCCGAGUCCAACAACCCAGCCCAGCUGCGUGUCGUUAAAAACCCAGCCGCCAGGGCAAUAUCUCGGAGUGCCGGUUUGUGCUGAGCAGGGUCAGAGAAACGCCUGCCCGCCCUCCCCCCUCCUGCAGCAGGGGAACAGCCAUCCCCAGGUAUCCUGGGGCUCAGUUCCAAGACCCUACGGGUGCCCACAUCCACUGAUGCUCGAGCCGCAUACAUUAAGCAGCAUCGCACUGGCAGGUAACCUGUGCACGUUCCCCGACGCGCUUCAAAUCACUCCCGGCUCACUGCAAUCCCCAGACAAGGGGAAUGAUGGGUAACUAGUUGUCAUACUGAAUUAUUUAGGGAAUAAAUAAUAAAAGUAGAGGUGGAAACGUU